CUCGCGAACUAUCAAUCUAUUUGUCUAUCAUCUUCUACUUGUAUGGUCUGAAAGAAAUGGAUCGACAUUACUCCUAGGUUUUGAGUAAUGGAAGGUAUAAGAGCGUGCACCACAGGGCAGUGACCAACAAAGUUGAGCCAAGGUUGUCAUUAGCAAUGGACCCAACAAGUACACAGUCAUUGGUCCAAUUGAGGAUUUGAUUGACGAGGAACACCCUCCAUUGUACCGGAGCUAUAAGUAUGCAGAGUUUUUU